AAGUCGUAACAAGGUUUCCGUAGGUGAACCUGCGGAAGGAUCAUUAAUGAAAUUAUGACUGGGGUUGUAGCUGGCCUAUAAAACGGCAUGUGCACACUCCUUUCACAAUCCACACACACCUGUGCACCUUCGCGGGGGUCUUUUUUUCUCUUCGGGGGAAUAAAGGCUCGCGUCCCUUUACACACCCUUUGUAUGUCUUAAGAAUGUCUACUCGAUGUAAUAAAACGCAUCUAAUACAACUUUCAACAACGGAUCUCUUGGCUCUC
rnacentral:misc_RNA from 1 species